GACAGAGGGGGCAAGCGUUGCUCGGAAUUACUGGGCGUAAAGGGCUCGUAGGCGGCCAACUAAGUCAGACGUGAAAUCCCUAGGCUCAACCUAGGAACUGCGUCUGAUACUGGAUGGCUUGAAUCCGGGAGAGGGAUGCAGAAUUCCAGGUGUAGCGGUGAAAUGCGUAGAUAUCUGGAGGAAUACCGGUGGCGAAGGCGGCAUCCUGGACCGGCAUUGACGCUGAGGAGCGAAAGCCAGGGGAGCAAACGGG
rnacentral:rRNA from 1 species